GUGUGUGUGUGUGUGUGAGUGAGACGAUUCUAUAGCUGAUUCCAAAGUGAAGGGGGGAUGCCCACAGCUGGGGUGGAGGGAUAAGGAAAGACUUCAUGUGGCAUUUCUUGUGGGGAAUAGGUCGCUGAGUCUCGUUCUGAUCACUAAGAAACAAGUGAAGGUGGAGGGCGGUUCAAGCACGGCGGAUGGUCGGAGAAAAAGGGAGAGAUGGGAAGUGGGGCGUUGUACCUGUAGAACGCUAUGGACAGCUUGAGCAGAUCAAUGGGUGUGUGAAGGAAGGUAUUGGGAAUCCACGUUUUGAGUCGGAUUCUAGAGUUUCACGAGUGGGGGCAUGACCCGGUCAGGCCUGUGUUUGUUUUCAUUUUAAUUAUUUUUUUCAAAUGAAGAUUCCCUAUUCUCUCCAUCUCACUUUCCUUCCCCUAUGAAGAGAGCAAGAAAGACAAAACUCCCACCAUAAACGUGCACGGUUGAGCAAAACAAUUUCCCCAAUUGUAUAUGUCUAAAAAUGAACAUCGCAGUCUGCACUCGAGUUUAUCGCUAUCAGGAGGUGAACAGUAAGUUUCGUCAAGAGUUCUCUGCAGGUCUGGUUGGCCAGAGUACCAAAGUCUUGCAAAGUUGAUUAUUUUUACAAGAUGGGUUGUCGUAUGAAUUGUUCUCCUGAUUCUACUCAUUUUGUUUCGGUUCAUGAAAAAUCUCAGGUUUCUCGGAAACCAUUUCCUUGAUCAUUUCUUAAAGCACAAAAUAGUGUGUCCACCAAUUUUCACAUAAAGAAAUUAAAGGAGGGGACAAUUUGGAACAGAAGGAAUUGCAAGGGUCAAGGUUGAAAAACUACCCAUGCAACUGUUUUGUAAAUAAAAAGCUUUAAUAAAAAAAUAACAAAGUAAAAAUAAAAAGAAAUCAAGGGAGGGGAUAAUUUGGAACAGAAGGCAUUGCAAGGGUCAAGGUUGAAAAACUACCCAUGCAAAAAAAAAAAAAAAAGAAAAAAGAAAAACUACCCAUGCAUCUGUUUUGUAAAUAAAAAGCUUUAAUAAAAUAAAAAAAUAACAAAAAUAAAUUAAAGCUAUCCAUAGUCAUAUGAAAAAAUCAUUACUGAUUAGAGAAAUGCCAUUUAAAAUAACUUGGAGGUACCCACUUCCCAACUCUCAGAUUGACUAAAAUGACAAGAAAAGGAUAAUGAUGAAUGUUGGAGAGAUGUGGGAAAACUGGGACACUGAUGCACUGUUGAUGGACUUGUGAAAUGAUCCAGCCAUUCUGGAGAGCAAUUUCGAACUAUGUCCAAAGUGUCAUGCCCUUUGAUCCAACAGUACCAUUAUUGGAUCAAUAUCCAAGGAGAUCAUAAAGGAGGGCAAGGGACCCACAUAUGCCAAAAUGUUUGCAGCAGCUCUUUUUGUGGAAGCAAAGAAUUGGAAAAUGAGUAGAUGUCCACCAAUUGGGAAAUUACUGAAUAAGUUAUGGUAUAUGAAAGUAAUGGAAUAUUAGUGUUCUAUAAAAAAUAAGAAAUUAUGAAAAUAACAUGAUUUUUAAAAGCUCUGGAAAGAUUUAUAUGAAGUGAUGCUGACUGAAGCAAGCCGAAGCAGGAAUACAUUAUACACAGUAACAACAAGAUUAUGUGAUGAUCAACUAUGAAAGACUUGGUUCUUUUCUCAACGGACCCAUGAUCCAAAGCAAUCCCGAUAGACUUUAGCUAGAAAACGCCAUCUGCAACCAGAAAAACUACUAUGGAGAUGGAAUAUAAGUCAACACAUGCUCUGUUCCUUUUUUUUUGUUUAUCUCUCCCAUGGUUUUUCCCUUUUGUUCUGAUUUUUCUCUUCCAACAUGAUUCAGGGAAGCAAUGUGUAUUAAAAUUAAAAAAAAAAAACUUCCUGAAAAUUUAGCUCCGAUUACUAUAAUAGAUUUAAUCUUAAGCAAACAGAAGUGAAAAGAACCUUUUCUUUUCUUCAUCUGUGUAUAAAAGUAUAAAACUAAAACGAGCCUUCUCAGGUCAGAAAAAGAAGGGAUUGUUCCCAGAGUGGUUACGUGGAAAACCUCAUGCAGAGGGAGAACUAGGGAGGAGUCUGAAGGUAAACCAAUAUAUGUUAUGUUCUUUUCUCCCCUUUUUCUUUUUUUCCUCUUCUGUUUUUUUCUUUUCUCUCCUAACAUGAUUCAUAAGCAAAUGUGUAAAAAAAGGAAUGUACAUGGAUAGCCAAAAAAAAACAAAAAAAAAAGCGUGUCCCCUGCAAUCACGUCCCACAACUUGUUCACUUGCCCCGCAGCUGAUGGCUUCCCCACGAUGCUCCAUUCUUUGCCAUCGCAAGAACUCUUAUGAACCUUGUCCACAUGGGUCUUUCUUUGAUCUCUUUGGAGGAUGAACCUAAUAGGAGAAUUGCCGGGUCAAAAGAUGGGCAGUUUCAGUUUCAUUGUUUUGGUUCCUAAGGUACUUUUGGAAAGGACUUGGCACAAACGAGGUGCUUAAUUGUGGGUUUGCCUUCAUUUCAUCACUCACAACCAAGGGCGAUGUUUCCGUUUGUGAACGAAUUGGAUUUGAGUGGGGCAGACUUGCAAAGUCCCCAGCGUCCUUUAGCUACUGAAAUAAGUUGUCCACAUCAGCUCAUCCUGCCGGGGGGGGGGCGCCUGCUCGGUGUAGACACCCCCAGCUCGGCCGGGGGACACCUUCGGCCUUCACCUGCUCAGUGUAGACACCCCCAGCUCAGCCAGGGGACACCUUCGGCCUUCGCCUGCUCGGUGUAGACACCCCAGCUCGGCCAUGGCUCUAACGCUCACCCACCCUGCCGGGGGACGCCUUUGCCUGCUCGGUGUAGACACCCUCCCAACUGGCUGAUGGGCUCGAUGCCCAUCAGUUACUCUCAAUCUGGUUUAGCCCGUCUGCUGAGACGGUUAAUCGGGGUGUGGCCACUGCACUUGCUCCAGCUUCUUGGAGCCACAGCUGAGAGUUGAGGAGUGCCAAGUGAGCGAGCCGUCCUCCCACCAGAGAAACUAGUCCUCCCGGAACACCUCUCACCCCCCACGAUUGGGUCAGUUUUCUCAUUUUACAGAUUUGAGUCAAAUCCAACCGACCUCAGGCCUCCUGUCUGUGCUAUGAUCUCACUAGUUACUGGGGAUCCUGACACAUGAUACAGUCCUUACCCUCAAGAAGAGAGAAGAUGGCACGCACCUGCACCUGGCCGGCGAGGGGAGGGACGCACACGUAGCUGAGCAAAGCCACAUCGGACCCAGCAAAGUCUGAGCUAACACAUGUUGGAGGGAACAAAUUGAAAAUGUCCCAAAGAAAGAUAAAGUCAUUUCGAAGGGGAGAGGAAGCUGCUAAGCAGGACAUCGGCGGGGAGGGGUGAGAAGAGGGCGUUCCGGGCAGGGCGGCUGGCCCGAAGGGCACCCGGGGCCCAGCUGAAGGAAGGCAGCCGGCCGGAGGCGAGGUGAUGACGGCUUGCCCUCUCCCUUAGGCAGCAGAAGCGUACUGACCAUUUGGAGUAUGAAGUGAUGAGUCACAAGAAGCAAGAAGGGGAUGCUGAAGGGAAAGGAGCCGCCCCCAUCUCUGAGGACCCUACCCAGAAGUGACUCAGAGAAAGGGCCUUCUGCUCUCCAGAUCUCCACACGUUGGGCCCCGAGAGGGCCGCGCCAGAGCCGACGCACCAGGCAAGAUGGCAAUCGAGACGAGGGAUGACCUCGCCGCUGACAUUGUCCAGGGGGCUCUGGAGGGAGAGGGCGAGGAGGGCAGCUCCAGCCUGGGAUUCCGAGGUGCUGAACUUGGUGACUGGGACGACCCCUGGUCCAGAGCCAGGGCCCCGACAGCAGGAACGGCGUCGGACACACCGAUGAGGGCGGGGAGCAAGAGCCGGCGGGCCCGGAGCCCCGUGCUGAUCAGGCAGCGCACAGAACAUCUGCUUGGGUUAUUAAAUCGGGACAGAUCGGCUCUUUACCUCCUGGUCUGUCCAAAGGGCAAGCAGGGACAGGGCUGAGACAUGGGGAUUUUAGGAGACAACUAUGAUUUUGAGCCCCGAUGUACCUGAGAUCAUCUGGCUCAAUUCUUUUUACAAAAGAGGGCACAGAUACGGAGAGGGCAUGAGGGAGAUGAGGGGUUCGGGAGGCGAGCGAGCCGCAGGGAUUCCAUCUUGGGACUCGGUUCUGGAGCUAGCUCAGUUUCCUUUCUGUUGCAUUAUGGGUCGAGCCCCGAUUCUGUCCUGGGAGAACCCUUUCUUCAGUGGUGAGAGCUGGGAGGAAAGCCCUGGCUGCAGCUCGCCCCGAUUGCUCUCACGCUUCCUCGCUCCCCUGCUUACCCACGCUCGUGGGGAGACGGCCGCCUCCUAUUUCAGGGGGUCCCCCCAGCAAGCCCCUGGCCUUCCUCCACUUAGAAGCUGGAUGACCGAGGGUCUGGGUCGUCCUGACCGUUUGGAACAGGAAGCUUGGGAGCCCCGCUUUACUGGCCCCCCAAUGGCACGUUCCUCUUAAGGAGGUUCAGAUUCGCUGCUUUGGCCGUUUCAUCUUUCGCCCGCCACGACAGAUGUCUGCCCAGGGCCACGCAGGCGACGGCCCGUUCUCUGCCCGCAAACCCUGGGCGCUUUUCAUGGUACCCGUCUCACAUGCUUUCUGAGGAAACUGAGGCGAGGGGCGGACCUGCUUGCCCAUGGAGCUAGUUUAUAGGUAUGAAGCUAGGAUUCAGAACCCGACCAGGCUGCCAUUCUCACUGGAUCCCUACCCGGGGCCGCAAUUGUCCCGGAGCCUCCCCCUCAGCCCCGUUCUGAGAGCAUUAGACGGACCCAAGUGCAAAGACCAUGCAGAGAGAAGCCAUUUUUUUUUUUUUUU